AUGACUCUGGCGGGCCGGGGCGUUUUGGUGCGUGCGGUGCUCUUGGCACUGCCCACUUUUGCGCUGACUGUGCUCAAGGUGCCGAAGAAGAUCCCCAAGGAAAUUGACAAGGCUUGGCGCCGCUUUCUCUGGGCUCAAGACGAUGCGCUAUCUGGAGGCAAGUGCAAGGUGGCUUGGAGCACGGUGUGCUCCCCGACGGAGAAGGGCGGGCUGGGGCUUCCUGGCUUGCAGCGAUUUGGCUCCGCCCUUCGUCUGCGCUGGCUGUGGAUAUCCUGGCUGCAGCCGGUAAGGCCCUGGGUUGCCUUCCCUUUGCCAUGCGACAAACUGGACAAAGAGCUCAUUGCCAAAGCCACAGCUGUCUCGAUCGGCGAAGGCCAAAAAGCGGGGUUUUGGACAUGCCCUUGGCUUGACAACUCCCCGCUGAGUGAAUCCUUCCUAAGCCUCUUCAAGCACUCGCGUCAGAAGAAUCGGACGGUGGCUGCUGCACUUGAAAAUGACCAGUGGAUCAAGGACCUUCGCCACGGUGACACGGCAUCCAUCGUUGUUGAUUUCUUGUGCCUCUGGCGGCGACUUCAGCAGGCUGAGAUCGUUCUCGACAACCAAUUGCAUGACCAGAUUGUUUGGACUGCUGGAGGGGGCACAGCUUACUCAGCCAGUGCGGCGUACAAGAUGCAUUUCAAGACCAUGCCGACCACGAGCCACAGAAACAUUGUUUGGAAAUGCUAG
rnacentral:rRNA from 1 species